rnacentral:lncRNA from 1 species
UACCAAGGGGGAAAGAAACGGUCCAUUCGACUGGAGCAUGAAUCUGCCCAUUCAUGAACGAAUUUUAUUGACUAAUUAGCCAUCAACUCUAGUGAUCGUUCCAAGUUCAAUGUUCACAUCCAUGACCAUUCGAUUGAGCAUGAAUUUCCCAAGUUCAUGAACCAAUCCCAUUACCAUUUAUUUACUAUUCAUGCAUUCGGUAGCUUCAAGGGAGUUCUAAUUCAGCCAUUAAACACCUUUC